rnacentral:tRNA from 1 species
GCGGAAGUGGCGGAAUUGGCAGACGCGCUAGGUUGAGGGCCUAGUGGGCUUAUGGGCCCUUGAGAGUUCAAAUCUCUCCUUCCGCA